AACGCGAAGAACCUUACCUACCCUUGACAUCCAAAGAAUUUUGCAGAGAUGCAGAAGUGCCGAAAGGAACUUUGAGACAGGUGCUGCAUGGCUGUCGUCAGCUCGUGUUGUGAGAUGUUGGGUUAAGUCCCGUAACGAGCGCAACCCUUAUCUUUAGUUGCCAUCACGUAAUGGUGGGGACUCUAAAGAGACUGCUGGUGAUGAACCGGAGGAAGGCGGGGACGACGUCAAGUCAUCAUGGCCUUUAUGGGUAGGGCUACACACGUGCUACAAUGGACAGUACAGAGGGUUGCCAACCCGCGAGGGGGAGCCAAUCCCAGAAAGCUGUUCGUAGUCCGGAUCGGAGUCUGCAACUCGACUCCGUGAAGUCGGAAUCGCUAGUAAUCGCGAAUCAGAAUGUCGCGGUGAAUACGUUCCCGGGCCUUGUACACACCGACGCAC
rnacentral:rRNA from 1 species